rnacentral:rRNA from 1 species
GACGAACGCUGGCGGCGUGCUUAACACAUGCAAGUCGAACGAUGAAGCCUUAGCUUGCUUUGGUGGAUUAGUGGCGAACGGGUGAGUAACACGUGAGCAACGUGCCCAGGACUCUGGAAUAACCGCGGGAAACCGUGGCUAAUACCGGAUAGGUGCCGAGGCCGCAUGGUCUUCGGUUGGAAAGUUUUUGCGGUUCUGGAUCGGCUCACGGCCUAUCAGCUUGUUGGUGGGGUAAUGGCCUACCAAGGCGACGACGGGUAGCCGGCCUGAGAGGGUGACCGGCCACACUGGGACUGUGACACGGCCCAGACUCCUACGGGAGGCAGCAGUGGGGAAUAUUGCACAAUGGGCGCAAGCCUGAUGCAGCAACGCCGCGUGGGGGAUGACGGCCUUCGGGUUGUAAACCUCUUUUAGUAGGGAAGAAGCGCAAGUGACGGUACCUGCAGAAAAAGCACCGGCUAACUACGUG